GAAUUGCUAGUAAUCGCAGAUCAGCAUGCUGCGGUGAAUACGUUCUCGAAUUUUGCACUCACUGCCCGUCAAGUCAAGGGAGUCGGUAAUACCUGAAGACCCAUAUUAUACAUGGGGACACGGUAGGAUCGAUGACAGGGACUAAGUCGUAACAAGGCAAGGGUAGCGGAAGCUGCUCUUGGAUCACCUCCUUUCUA
rnacentral:rRNA from 1 species